UCCCGGGAUGGCGUGGCCUUGGGCACUGGGCACUAGCGCGUAGGGGUGCAAAGGUUGGGGCUGGAAACCAAACCUGACUGUUAACUUCCAACUUCACGGGGAGGAAAGUUGGGCGAACCCCAGCAAUGACUCUCCAGGAAACACUGGUCCCUGAACUCUGCUUGCCCCAAGUCUGAGCCUUCAUACAAAAGAUGCUGCAAAUUCCUGAGCUGGAAUGAUUUUGCUACUGCAAUCGUCUCUCUAAUGAAACUCUCCUAAGUCUAGGUUUGUUUUUGUUGACAUCCUCCAGUUGGUAAGUCUCGGCCUGCUGCCUGAAGGAGGGGUACGCUGUCUGCCACCAGGCUCCAUCAUCUAUACCCUUGGAUGAGAUGGGACACAGGCAAUCAUUGCUAGCUCACAGGUUUCUGGCACAAGGAUUUAUGAAAUCAUCACAACUGAGAACAGAAAAAAGAGACAGCCCUAGACUAGAGGCUGUUAAUUUGUUCCACUGUCUGAUUUCCAUUGGCCCCACCCUGAUUCCUCUGGGCUCUGGGUUUUGGGGAGAAAGCUUGUCCACUUGCCCCAUGUGGCAGAGCUCAGACUUCUCCCAUUGAUUUCUUUAAGGACUGCUUAACUCUGAAGGAAGAGCCUCCUCUCAGACAGCUGGGAAUAGUCCCCUCCCAAGCGCUGUUAGCAAUAAAUAACUGGGUAGACUAGACCCAUCCUUCAGUCAACUCAGAAGCUUCGUACAGCCUAGGGCAGAAGAGCCUCCUGACUCACCCUGAACUUCCUCUUCCCCAGCGGACAUAACACCCUCCCUGGUGCAGUCCUGGUAGCUGACCUUGCCAGCUUCUAGGGCAACUGUGCACAGGACUUAACUCCCUAAUGUCUUGGGCUGUCUGUAGCCACUGCAAUCGGUUUGGAAACACACACAAUGAUUAUUGCCCUCACCAUCUGGAUAAGGGCCAUUUUUAACCUGAGUAUACACUGUUCUUUAUGCUCCCAAGCCUCUCCCAUGAUACGAUCUCACAGAGCUGGCCAAGUCUCCUCUUUCUCUGACGACAUGAUCCCUUUCACAGGCACACACAGGUGAAGGUGGACACACACACCCUCAGUGGAAAACCCUCCUGGAGUGAGUCAUCCAGCCCUGAGGGCAGUUGGGGAGUCAGAAGCAGCUGGGGAGCUGGGAGUAUCCAAACCGCCAGAGUCUGGACCCUGGCCAGAGAGAGAGA